GGGGGGAUGCCCGAGCGGCCAAAGGGGCCAGACUGUAAAUCUGGUGGCGGACGCCUUCGCAGGUUCGAAUCCUGCUCCCCCCACCA
rnacentral:tRNA from 2 species